rnacentral:pre_miRNA from 17 species
UCUCUGUUAGUUGCAGUCAGUAACAGAGAUUCAUCCUUGUGUCGAUCACGCAACAAGGGGAAUCGCUGUCACUUCCUGUAAUUAAUGGCCACAC